CAGAGUUCAGACUUAGGAGUAAAACAGAAAAGUGAACUAAACAGUCGCUUGGAAGAGAAGACUAAUCAGAUGGCUGCUACCAUUAAACAACUUGAACAAAGGAACCAGCUUGAGUUAGAACUAAAACAGGAAAAAGAAAGAAGAUUACAAAACGACAGGAGCAUCCCAGGAAGGGGUUCCCAGAAGUCAGAAUCCAAGAUGGAUGGGAAGCACAAAAUGCAAGAGGAAAAUGUUAAACUAAAAAAGCCCCUGGAAGAAAGCCACAGGCUGCAACCCCACCCUAUGGAUGAACAGGUAACAGAGCCUCCUGUUUCAAAACAUCUUGUAUGAAUUAUGAAGUUGGUUGUACCGUGCCUAGCCAGCAAAUAAGGAUCAGCUGCUGCUCUCUGAAAAGCCACAGUUGUGUCAGCUAUGCCAGGAAGACGGCAGCCUAACAAAGAAUGUGUGUAAGAACUGCAGCGGAACCUUCUGUGAUGCCUGUUCAACAAAUGAACUGCCUCUUCCUUCAAGUAUCAAGCUUGAGCGAGUUUGCAAUCCCUGUCACAAGCAUCUGAUGAAGCAAUAUUCUACCAGCCCAUCAUAAGACUGGAGGCCAAGACCUGGACCAAAACGUUUAUGCAGGCUCCUCUGUACCUGUGUUUUAGCUGUCAGGAUCUCAUAGAGCCCAGUUCUUAGAGUCAACUAAAGAGUUGAUAGGAAUUUACUAGGUCCAGGGAGAAAAGGCAGUGGUUGGGGUUACUGGAAAUUUUGCUCAUUUUCUCUAAUGACUGUAUGAAUAAAAGUGAACUUACUUGAGCCUUUCUCUUCUAAAUCUAAACAACCUGAUAUUGAAGGUUUGCUUUAUAGCAUAUCUUUGGAAAGGCAACUCAUUUUUAUGAUUAGUGAUACUGGGGUGGAUUUAAUAGGAGAGAGAAUCCAGGCAGAUAAGAAUAAAAAGGAAAAUGAUCAUCUCCUUCUAUAGCAUUUGCAGAUUCAAGGGGGAGAGGUAGAUGCUGAGAUCAAAAUGACAGUUGUUACUUAUUUUUCCAGGUGCUGUUAGUAUAAACAUUGUUUCCUCUUCACCCCUGCUAACUACCUCUUUAAAGUAUUUCUACCAAACUGUGAACCCAAUCUCAGGGAAAAGAAAUUAAAAAGUAAUAUAAAUUCUGCAUAUAUUAAAAACAAUAUUGUAAUAUGUUAUAAUUUCAGGACCAGAAUUUUCUGGUCUUUACCUACAAGGGUUUUCAUUAUC
rnacentral:lncRNA from 1 species